UAAAUGGUUGGCAGGCCCCUCCCCCUCGCGCCGGGCGCUUUUUCGUCAGCUAGGAGGUUGAAGUCCUGAAGUGGUAGCCUUGACUCGGAGUUGCUCGGCUCUGGACUACGCCACCCGAGACAGCGGGCAGAGCCGACCAAAGGGCAUCUCUUUCCACCAGUUUCCUGUUGACACUCUACAGUGUACCAGAUGGAUUCAUGCUGUUAACAGAGUGGACUCCAAAUGCAAAAAUAUUUGGAUUCCAGGUCCUGGUGCUAUUUUGUGUUCUAAACGUUUUGCAGAAACAGACUUUGAAUCGUAUGGAAUGAGAGGAAAGCUAAAGAAAGGAGCAGUGCCUUCUAUUUUCCAGCAUAAGAUAUUCUUAAUAGUAAUUAUAAAGUGGGUAUAAUGCUAAAAAAAUAAGCAGGAUCCUCAAAGUAAGUACCAAAGAAGCAAGAUGUCUCAGAAAGCUGUCAAGCUACUUCUUGCCAGUCAUUCUUAUGAUGAGGAGGCCAUUAAUGAAGAUCACAAUUACAGCUUAAGAAGAGCGCAGGUCCUUUCCGAACAGCAGAGAUGCAUUACAAUUGCCUGGAAAAAAUGGUGCAGCCCAAAGGAGACUUUUACAUCAACAAAGAAAGGCUGGAUGGAUGAUCAGGGAGCUGGCAGAAAAGAGACUCCUCCCAGAAGAAACUGUAGACCUGUUGCAGGUUCUGUUUUCUGGAAAUCUGUGGGCCUUGUGUUAGACUGGAAAUAUCUGCAGGCCGUCCUACUUAAGAUGAAAAUGGGAAGGAACUAUAGACCACAUGCCUUGCAUGCAGAAGGGCGCAGGUUCAAUCUGGUAUAACAUAGCUUUGUAGGUUUAGUUGCUAUGUGUUUGGCUUUAUUUUAAAUCACGGUGCCUAAGCUACCUUUGAAUUGUCUUUGGAAAGUUCAGUUGAUCCAGAAUGCAACAGCAGCGAGGCUGGUAGUUGUUAUUUUUUUGUUUAGAGUAUUUGUAUCCCACUCUUCAGCCAAAAAGGCUCCCAGAGUAGCUCACACAUCAUCAAUUAAAACAAGACCAUUUUGCUGUCAGGCUUACAAUUGAAAAAAACAUGAUGCACAAGGGAAACAGGACAGGCAGGGACCAAUCCUUCAGUAAUAGUCCUUAUAAUGACCAGCUGGACAAGAAACAGCACGGGGGUAGAAGGUGCCUGUUGGAGCUGGUCUUCUGAUACAACUGAUGGCUUGAGUCCUGCUUCCCAUCUCUCCUACUGAAGCAGCCUGAUGGAAUGGCUGCUGCCAGGUGACAAUUGAGGGAGAGGAAGCCUGAUGGGGCUGGUUUUUCACAGGGUAAUAUCAUGCCAGCACUGGCAGCAACAGCUGCACUUAUUACCCUUUUCCCCUCAAUCCUCCCUUUCUAUGAGAUUGUGGCAGAUAAUGGUUUAAAGUCAUAAGUUCCACUGAUAUGUAGACAAUUUUAUAGGCCACUUAGAGAUUUUUCUUUGAUAUUAUGCUGGUUAGAAAUGCUCAUAAAUGGAUGGGGUAUAUUAGCAAAAGCAAUGCAAAUAUAGUAUAACCCUGCUAUAAGGCAGCUCACCGUACUGGGGAUUUGGAUAUACCAAAAUGUCCCAGAGUACUAUACUGUGUACAACAUUGCAGUUUUUGUUAUAAUGCAGAACCCCUUUAAUACAGGUACAUCCUUUGUCCUCCAACCCCCACAUUAUAAUGAGGUUCUACUAUAGUUGAUUUCCUCUUCAUAAAUUUCUGUUUGUUUGGUUUUCUUCUGAAUGGUUAACCAGUUAAAUAUGGUUGUACACUGCUUUGAGAAUUUUUUUGAGCAAGUGGUUUAUAAAAAUUUAUUUAUUUAGAAAAAAACAGUCAAGGGCAUAUCAAUAUCUAACCCACAAAUAAAUUCAGAUUUUGAGUCACGGAACCUAUAUUCUGCACUCAGAUUGACAAGUUUGCUUGCCAGAAUUCUACUACAAAGUUGUUGCUUUAAAGGCUUGCUCUUGUUUCAGCUGGAUAGAAAACAUUAAAUCCUUAAGUAAGAACAGUCUUACAUUCUGGACAGUUUCUAAAUCUAUACAACUAUGGCCUCAGUUGCACAGAUCUGAAUUAUUAAACCAGCCUUAUUCUCUGGUUUUUAAAUAUUUUAAGCACUCUCAUAAUUUGGGUGGAUCAAAGAUGCAUUGUUGUACAGUAUCCAUUUCAUGCCUUUGUAGUUUGAGCACAAGCAAUUCCUGCUUCUUAACUGGUGUUGUACCUUGAUUCAGAUACAACAACCCCCCAACAGUGAUAGGUUAGUAAAAUAACUUUUUUUGCGUGUGGGGGGGAGGCAAGCCACUAUUCAGUUUACAAAGCAGCUUGUCUCUUCAGCAAUGGAAGCUACUGCAGGUAACACUCUGGUUGUGCAUCACAGUUCUUCUAUUUGUGGAUGUAUAACUUUUUUGGACUUCAGAAUUAGAGAGAAGUUGAUUGGGUCUUCCAUUGGGAAGAGGCUGAAUCCUUGGCUAAAAUUCAGGGGAGGAAAUUGCAAUCAGAAUUAAUGUAUGCCCUUUCCUAACAACAUACUGUACAGCCUUCCUGCUGCAGAUGGCUGUUCCCAUUGUUAUAGGCUGCCUUUGAUUUUUCUUGUUUUUGGCCCUUUCAAGCUCUCCAAGGUUAAAUAAAAUUAUAAAAGUUGGGAGACAGUUAUUAUUGAAAAAACAACAGCUAAAGUGAAAGCUGCUGUAAGAGUUAAGCUUCUUUUGCGUUCCUCUCCCUCUUCCCCUAUCUGAAGACUGGGCAAUCUCCCGCCUCUCUGCUGGAGAACAGCUGGUCCAGAAGUCUGCCAAGAGUCUGGGCACUUCCCUCCUCCCAUCUGUAAACAAAAGGCAUAUCUGGAACAAGCCUAUUAGACCAUUGGGGAGAGACAAACUGCAAUAUUGUCAACUCAUAAAGAGUCACAAGGCCUGUUAUACUUGUAAUGAAUUACAGGAUGCAAAGCAGUUAGCCCUUCAAGGAGGCACAAGAGAGUAAAGUGAAAGCCCUCAUCCGAUAAGAAAAGCCUAUAAAUAGCCCACAAACCCGAUGCUCAAUGCCAGUCCUUCGAGACUGUGCCAGAGGCCAGUCCUAGUGACUGUGCCAAAAAAGCUGCCUGAUGCUGAACAAUGGCUGCUUAGAAGCCAAGCAAAUUCCUCCAUUUUAUAGAUCCCCAUACAAGAGUGAAAACAUUCAUUUUCCUGAAGUGAAAAGUAUGUAUUGCAUUGUAUUUAGGCAGGUGUUAUGCCAAGUUUUCAUAAUAUAUAUUAUGUAGUUUCGAGACCCUUUGGCUGAGGCCAAAGAGAGUAUUAUUUGCACACAUAAGAAGCAUCUAAGGCUGUUCUUAGAUGAAUGCUUACAUGUAUAACUAUAAGCACUUGUUAAAGAAACUUGUUAAAGCUGCUUUAACCAUUAUAAGAUAAAGCUAGCUAUGUGCGUCUCUAACCCAUGUGAUGUAAGAUAGAGCCAGCUACAUGCUUGUUAGCAUUGUAUGUCCUGGCUAUGGCGAGCAAUAUAUGUCUGUUUAGCUAUUAAGUUAUUGGCUAAGACCAGAUUCUUUCUAUAAUUAUGUAUGCACAAUUUCUGCAAUGGCUGAGGCAAGCUACUAGUCCUUAGUAUAGAAAUAAAGGAAUAUAUUUUGAA